rnacentral:lncRNA from 1 species
AUUUUUAAUUUUUUUAGUCCAUUUUCGAAUCAACAACCCAUACCUUAAAAAAAAUAAGACACGGUGAAUCGAUCUUGUUUUAUAAAAAAAAUCAACUUAUUCGCGAAAAGACAAACUUGCCUUCCAAAGUCCAGGAAUUUGGUCGAAUCUGAAUGAAGCAUAGCCUUACGUACGUAACUCGUAAAUCUGAACAACUGUCUCUGUAUUUGAAAUAAAUGUGUUCACUCGUAAACGAGUGAGUGUUUUGUAGGGUAGGGGUUAUGUAUAUAUAUAUGUAUGGCAGCACUUGGUUGUGAUUGGAGGAACAUUAAAAGAUAUUCUCUUGACUAAUUUUUUGCAUAAAAAAUAUUACAGUCCACAUAUUAUUAAUUAAUCAACGUUCUGUGCAAACGUGAAAGAAGGGAAGUAGAGCAGUCGAAGGUGCUCUAAUAAUUGGUCCUUCGAGCCGGAUAUCCUCUGAAGUGAAUGUGGACAUCAAUC